GAUGAACGCUAGCGACAGGCUUAACACAUGCAAGUCGAGGGGCAACGGGGGUGAAAGCUUGCUUUCACCUGCCGGCGACCGGCGCACGGGUGAGUAACACGUAUGCAACCUGCCCUCCACUGGGGGAUAAGCGGAAGAAAUUCCGUCUAAUACCGCAUAACAACCCGAGGGGACAUCCCCUUGGGUUUAAAGGAGUGAUCCGGUGGCGGAUGGGCAUGCGGCGCAUUAGCUAGUUGGCGGGGUAACGGCCCACCAAGGCGACGAUGCGUAGGGGUUCUGAGAGGAAGGUCCCCCACACUGGUACUGAGACACGGACCAGACUCCUACGGGAGGCAGCAGUGAGGAAUAUUGGUCAAUGGGCGGGAGCCUGAACCAGCCAAGUCGCGUGAGGGAAGACGGUCCUAUGGAUUGUAAACCUCUUUUGUCGGGGAGCAAAGAGGCCUCGUGAGGUCAAAAGUGAGAGUACCCGAAGAAAAAGCAUCGGCUAACUCCGUG
rnacentral:rRNA from 1 species